GUUCCGCUGGGCCGAUAGGUAAGGCCGCCGACGCUUGCAAAGCGCCGGUCUAUCCCGGUUCGAAUCCGGGGCGGGACG
rnacentral:tRNA from 1 species